rnacentral:lncRNA from 1 species
CGAGUAGCUGGGACUACAGGCGUCCGCCACCACGCCCAGAUCCCUAUCACGUCCUCGACUUUCCUGCAAGAGGCAGAUUAUUACAGUCCCCUGGGAGCCACUCAGGGGGAGUCUCAGGGCACAGAGGUUAUUUGAUUCAAUUACAAGAAAUCUGAUGAGUAUCUACAAGGAACUCAGAGCUGUGGGAGAAGAGAAAAAAGUGCAUGAAGUAAAGAAAAAGCAGGGAAUGAGAGAAAAAAAUGGAGGAGUGAGUGCCACAGCCCAGUCAGUAAGUGCUACGUAAGUGCCUGGAAGAGCGAGAGAGGGUGGGGACUAUGCUGGGAAGUCCAAGACGCAGGGUCUAUGUGGAUGGUAGCUAACACAAUAGUGGUCUCCCCCCAAGAAGCAAAGCAAUGGCAUAGAACUAAGAACUCUAACUCAAGACAGUUUUCCUGAAAUACAACAACUACAUUUUGAAAAUUACCAUAUUCCUGAGAAUAUUGACCCAGAAUGAUCAACACUGAGACAUAUUCUAGCAAAAUUUGGGGGCUUACAAAAAGGAAAAGAAAUCCUUUGGGCAAGAACCUGACCCCGAAAGUGAAUUCGAUUAUCAUCAGAUUUUUGACAACGAUGUUUUAUGCUAGAAAAAAAUGGAGUAACAUCUUUCAGACAGCCCCUUCCUACAGACUCUUGGAAAGAACUAGCUGUAGACAAGCAAAAUGGCUAGAGGACAGUGACACAGGGCUGGGGUUGAUAGUUACUCUAGAGCUAAGAUUAAAUGAGGGCUAAACCGGAGGCAGGACAGUGCAUAUGAUGGUUAUACGAUCUGACAAUGCAGAUAUAGGAUGACCACAAAAAUCGGGGGAAAUGGGAAAGCAUAUGAAGACAUUUUUUUGUUUGUUUUUGAGACAACCUGUUGCCCAGGCUGGAAUGCAAUGGUGGAUUCAUAACUCAC